rfam:Ictidomys tridecemlineatus contig037567, whole genome shotgun sequence.
AUAGAGGUUGUUUUAGCAACCAUCAAAAGUAUUAUUGAAUGAAAU